rfam:Pteropus alecto contig41466, whole genome shotgun sequence.
GGCUCCAUAGAGUAGUGGUUAGCAUGUCUGCUUCACACGCAGAAGGUCCUGGGUUUGUGCCCCAGGUGGAGCCA